AUUAAAAUGAGCACCAUGAAUCAAGAAACAGGAGUAGCAAUCUCAAUAAGGGCGCCUGGAAUCCACCCCUGCUGUGCACAGAGCGAUUUACAGGCGUCAUCUGGCUGCCCUUCAAACAAAUUGGUGCACCGCAGGCGAGCGUGGUCUCCACUCACCCCUGAGGACGUUAAGGCACAGGAGACUAUGGAAAUCAGUCAGAAGUGUCCCUUGAAACUUGUGAUAUACUUUCCCUAAUGUUAUUGCUUUUCCAUGACUUGCCUCUUGAAAAUGGAAAAUACUAAAGUGGACCUGAAUCGUCUGCACCUAGCGUCAGUCGCUGGGUUCUGUCCACCCCUGACGCCCACUGCCACCAGAAGAAACACCAGAACUCAAAGCCACAAGGUUCACACAGAAUGCAGGCUCCAAGUCACCCUUAGUUCAAAGCCAGUCUUCAAAGGUCCACGUAAGGGCAUCUGAGUCCCUCCCAUUGCUCUUCCUGCCACCACACCGUCAUGCCCUGGCCCAUUCGUGCAGCCGUUCCUCCUUUUCCUAAUCCCUGAAGGUGGGCAUCCAGCAAGCAUUCAUUAUAUGUCUCUUGCCUGCUAGGUGCUGUUUCCAAUUACUGAAAAGUGUCUAAUUACAAAAUAAUAAGUGAUUGUCAAAACAAGUGUUUACUUCAGGAUAUUUCCACUCGCCAUGCUCCGUCAUCCUGCCACACCUCCCAGCCCAAACCCACCUUCCUUGGUCUCCCAUGGCUCCGACUGGCUGGGCUUUUAACUAGUCCUUCAGUAUGCAGGGACCACGCACUGCUACGUUUAAAAAUCCUUAAACCCCUCCCCCGAGGCCACCAAGCCGCCUUCUCUGUCAGGUGGCCACACCCACUUUGGCACACCCAUGCCUCAAGGAGCUCACCGCCGCCCAAGCCAGACGGUACCAAUGCUGGGCAUCGAGGCACAUCAGAAAACAUAUCCUUGUGUUGGGCCAAAAUCUACCUUCUCUGCACCAUUUCCACAAGCCAGGACAUGGAGAUGUCAGAUACUGACGCCACUGUCACUAAGAACCUUUGCUACUGUGUAACUCGGCAUCCAGGACAACUUGUCAAAAAGGUUGAAACCGUAUGUCCACACAAAACUUACACAUGGAUGUUGAUGGCAGCUUUUUUUACAGUUGCCAAAACUUGGAAGCAACGCAGAUGUCCUCACUAGCUGGAGCUAAACUCGAUGAUGGGGCUGCUGCUCGAUGAACCACACAGCAGGGCACCAGCGAGUAUGCGUGGACCGCAUGACAGCUGCCUCCCAGCACUUCUGCCCGCGGGACAGCUCUUAAGCUGGAUCCUAGCAGCAGGGCUGCAAUUGCUGCGUUCUGGGGGACCUCCUGAAAUGACAAAACCCUGGUGUCAUCUCCGCGAAGAGUACAUUGGCUGCACAGCUGCUCUGCUGGUGCGCAGGCAUAAACCUCUCCUCCCACGUAUACAUUUCCAAAGAGCCACAUGUGUGCUGAAGAGCGGUUAAGAAAGAGGGUGUGUUUUAGGGCUUCAGAGCAGCAUGCAGUCCUGGAAAGAGGGAGCCACAGAUACAGAUGAGACAGUGAUUCCGGUGACCCUCCAACUGUUUCAAUCUUCUUCCUGAGGCAGGAAGAAGGCAGACAAAAUCUGGUACAGAGGGACUGUGUUGGUAUCUUGCCGCUGAUGCACACCCAGACCUCACGCAGCUGUAAGGUGCUUCAGAGAAGAGCCCCACCCCAGGCCCUGCCCUGUCCCAACAUUGACAUUUGUUCCAUGCACCAAAGUGCAUGUCUCCCGAUGCCUCCAUUUGUAUCUGUCUAUAUGUAUAUCCAGAUUUAUCUGCAUCCAUAUUCACAUGUAUAUCUGUAUCCCCAGCCACAGCCAUUUCCAUAUGUACAUAUAAAUGUACAUACUGCAUGUUGUCUUACUCACUGAAUAGAUCUGUUGAGCCCUGCAGUGAACAUUGCUGGGAGCCACACCAGCAUCAAGCCCCUCCCCAGGGGUGGUCAUUGAGUGGCCUAAAUGAACCAGUAUAAUCCAGUGAUAGGUUUGGGACUGGGCACUUGUCCAGGCAUAAACCCACCAAUGAUGGGCAUUGUCUAGUGAUGAAGCCUUGGGAUGGCUGCAGCCAAUUUGCCAUCAUGAGGGAGGGAAGCCUCAGGAUGUUGCCAACGCACUGAUUAGGACAUGCAGAGGAUCGGGAAAAAAAUGGAGCAGAACCCUAAUUAAACUGUGCCAAUGGAUUAGCCCCAGCUCUGGCCUUUUCCACAGUUUAAACCAAUUUGAACUGCACUUUCUGUUACCUGUAGUUGAUCAAGAACAUCCUUACUCACACAAGUGCUGAGCACUGGACAUUCUGUGAGUGAGAGAGUGCCUACCCUCCUGAGCUUACGUUUUCAGUGGAGGGAGGUGAAUAAAAAAACAUGGUAAUUUCAUCCCUUAUGUGUUGUAAGAGCGGUGGGGAACUUGUGACUUUCCCUCAAGAGUUGAGACCUGAAGGGUGAGAAAGAGCCAGCCCUGGGAAGAUCCGCGGACCGGGGUGUGUGCCAGAGGGAAGAGCCAGGGCAAAGCUGCGAGGUGGGAGUGAGCGUGGGAGGUUGGGCACCACGAAGAAGUCUCAGAGGCCGGCAACUGUGGAGCAAGGGGGAGCGAAUGAAAUGAAGAAAGUGGCCUCAUUUGUAGGCUGUGCAUCGAGUCUGGAUCUUACUGAGUGUGGCUGGGAGCUAUUAGGAGGAUUCUGCGCAGAGGUAUGACAUGCCUGAUCAAAUACUUUCAAAGGAACCUUCUGGCUGCUUUGCAGCAAAAUGACUACAGGAGCAAGAACAGCAGAGAGCAGUUAGAGGCACCAGGCAAGAAGUGAAGCUGGUCUAGACCCAGGUGAUGGCUGUGAAGAUGGUGAGAAGUGGAGAUACAGGGAUUGUAACUCCUAAUGCCCAUCCCCUCGGGGCAGCUGGAUGCCCCUUCGCAGGGACACACCAGCUGGGCUGUGGGUAUGAGUAAUUGCUCUCCACUGAAUCCUGUGUUCCAACAGGGUGAAUCUUUCACAGGCAGAACAGCACAGUGUGAUGAGAAAUGAAGUGGGAAGAUGUAUGCAGUGAGGACAGAUAUUUGGGGGCAGGGAGUCACACUGUUCGCAGAGCACACUUGCCUGGGAAACCAUGUCCGGUUUUCUCCCAUUACUUCCUUUACUUUUGAAAGCAGAUUCGCUUAAAGUCCUGUGUGUUGUUCCCUCUCCAAAGACCACAGCAAUGAGGAUUCCAAAUAAGGGGAAGGCCUCAGACGAGCAGUGCCAUGUCUCAAAAGCCUAAGUUGUUUCUAAGUGGGCUGUCCCCCAUUUAAGGUAACUCAUUACCAUGAAGCAAAAUCAAUAUGGCAAGUCAGGGACCCAGUGAAGGUCUCCUGAUUUUAAACGGAACCUUCAAUAUAGGAUUAUGCAGGAUUCUAAUAAAGUGCCUAUUUCAGCGCUACUUUAUAAAAUCAUCUUCAAGCUCAGCAUGAAGAACAUGCAUAUACAGUCGUCAGUCUCUAGCAGCAGUUCUCAAACCAGCUGUGCCAAAGCGCAGCCUGUCACAGACAGGAAUGUCCAGGCUCCACCCCCAGAGGUUCUAACUCAGUAGAUCUGGGUUAGGUCUGGGCAGUACGUGCUGCAAGGUGGUUCCAGUGGUGUCUGCAACGCCAUUACCUGUGUCCUGAGUUCCUUGGACAUUUUAUAACCUGUACCUUUUUAUGUAAAUACGAUUGUAUGUAAUAUGUUUAUUUUGAUACUAAGACAUCUCAAAUCUUCUUUGGAACUAUAUAGUAUGUAUUAAUGAGAACCAGCUAGAGCCCUCAGAAGCAUAGAAAGGAGAUGGAGUAUGUCCAGUAGGUGGCUAGAGGAGCAAGGACACAGGGCAUAGGCAUGGGGGGCUGGCAUGCUGGACAUCGCAGGCACUGACCACCCCCAUCUUUAGUUACUUAGCCCAAAGUGUUUCUCAACCUCACUCCUUUAGCAGUAUAUGCAGCCCAUGAAGCCCCAAAUGAGUUUGGGUUUUUUUAAACACCAAGGGGCAAGGAGCUUUCUUCCCCCCAUGCCACACCAAUUCUAAAGGGCUCGCCAUAGACUGGGGAUAAUGGGUCUUCCCAUCUCAGCACCCCUCACAGCCCCCACCAGUUUCAGCACCUCUGAUAUACACUACUGCAUAAAUGCUUACCCUUGACAGUACAAUACAUAGGGUAUAAACAAAUGAAAAAAAAAUGAAGAGGUUACUGAACUUUCUAUUAAUUGAUUCAGGACACAUCAAAAUGGCAUUAUAAACACUUUUUUAAUGACAACAGAUGUUAAAUGUAUACAAAUUACAGGCUAGAAUAAUACAAUGAAUACAAAAUUCAUCUAGGUAACGGUUAGAAAAGCAUCACUUACCGAAAGUAAAUCUGAUUCAAGUGGCUGAAGAACUCAAGUCCCCCAUUUUGACAAUUACACACA